rnacentral:lncRNA from 1 species
GAGAGAGUUGAACAGGCAGUCUCAGACUGCAGAGCAUGUCUAACAAAGUUUCAGGCAGGCCAAAUGAGAGUCUUGAGGCUCAUCUGUCAAGGGUAUCCCCUGUCUCACAGGAACGGACCUGCCUUAGUAUUCCUGCCGUGUUCAGUCCUUGGAGGAGAGAAGCCCAUGGGUAGCAUGACUUAGCAUGAAUGGUGCAGUGGUGAACUCAGUGGAUAGCAGCUGGGGCCAUCCAACAACUAUGCUUCCCCAAGCAGGAGACCUGGGUGGCACAUUUUCAUGGAUACCAAGUACAUGCCUUAUGCUGCACAGAUCUACUUCACACAGCUUUGGAGAACAGCUUCUCCGUGGUUCCUACGGACUUCUCUUUCUGAGGAGAAACUUAGAAAAGUAAGACUUGUGAUUUUUUGCAGACAACAUCACGUUUUUCUGUUGAAGAGAGUUGGAUUUCUCCUUGUCCAACCUACAGUGCUUUUCACUAUUUUUCUGACUUUAUUCAACUGGCAAGAAUCUGCAGCACAAUGUUAAAGAGAAGUUAUGAAAAAGGAUAUUUUCCAGUUUUUCUUGAUCUUAGAGAGACUAUAUUAAAUUAUUUAGUGUUUUUCCAUUAAUUUUAAUGUGAGUUUUAUCAGAUUGUUUUAUAUCAGGCUGAAGAAAAUUCUAUUCUUGUUUUUCCAACAGUUUUUAAACAUGAGUGGGUAUUGAAUUAUGUCAAACGCUAUUUUCCUGCUUCUUUUGAGAUAAUUAUACGGAGUUCCUUUUACUAUGGCAAAUUACACUGAUUUUUCAAUCGUAAACCAACCUUGUUUUCCUUAGACAAAAUAUAUUUUACUUUCAUGUUGUUGGUUUGAGUAUGCUAAUAUUUUGUUAAGGAUUUUUACAUGUAUGUUCAUGAGGAAUAUUAAUCUCUAAUUUUCUGUCUUUGUAAGUUUCUUUCCUGUUUUCCAUUCUGCCUCAUUAAAAACGUUGGAACACAUAAUAUCUUCCUCUAUUUUCUGAAGUUGUUUGGUAGUAUUGGUAUUAUUUGUACUUAAAAUGUGUGACAGAAUUCAGCAGUGAUGUCACCUGGACCUCAG